rnacentral:pre_miRNA from 1 species
AAAAAGACAAACCCUGGUUUCCAUGUUCAACGUUUGACUAUUCGUUUUAUUUAAAAAAAAUUAAAAAAAUAAGUCACGUAUAAAGUAUUAAUCAUGUUUUAUCAUCUAACAACAAUGAAAAUACUAAUUAUAAAAAAAUUUCAUAUAAGACGAACAGUCAAACGUUGGCACGGGAAUCCACGGUUUGCCUUUUU